rnacentral:lncRNA from 1 species
GCUUUGUUUCUCCUCUUUCAGUAUCUUCAUGACCCCACCUACUUUAACAGUGGGGCCUUUAAAGCUUUGAAAUAUCAAGAAGUUGAGAACAACAUUAGCUUUAUCAGGACAACCUGCAACCACAGAGCGACCUCAAGAUUGAAAAGCCUGAGAGGAGUAGGCAUAGAGCACUUCAGACCUGAUCAACCUUUCCGAGAAGAUGCUGCUGCUCUGUUCUGGUUGGCUAAUCUCCUACCCUCCAGGGCUGAAGGAGGGAGUGGAAGUGUGGUGAGACUGCUUCUGUCACCUACCCAAAGCCAGAGACCUUCGACAAAUCACCUUGCAGAUGAUGCAGGAUAACCAGCAGCACAGAUGGAGGAGGUCUGUAAGGUCCUGGGCCACAGCCCUGCCUUCCUCUCCCUGACCAAGUAUUUAGAAGGAAUAAUGACCAACAGCUCUGACCUGGGCAGCCUUUCAAGGAACAUGCAUCCACUCCUGCUCUUGUUGGCCUUUCUUCUACCCUCUGAGCCUGCAAUAGCUCAGUCAGCGUGACUCUGGGGGCCCACGACAUCCUGAAUCAAGAGUGGACCCUGCAGGUCAUCCCUGUGAAAGAAGCCAUCCGCCACCCAGACUAUAUUCCUGGAGACUUCUUCAACGACAUCAUGAUACUAAAGUUGGAGAGAAAAGCCAAGCUGACUGCAGCUGUGCUGCCCCUCAGCAUCUCCAGGGGCACAGCUCAGGGGGACUCUGGGAGCCCACUCAUCUGUAAGAACAUGCUCUAGGGCCUUGCCCUCCAUGGACAAGAUGACAGGACAAGUCCACGGGUCGUCAUCAAACUCUCAAGCUUCCAGCCCUGGAUAAAGGAAACCAUGAAAUCCUAUGAAAAGCCUCUAACUGUAGGAACCAGCCCACCUUCUCUGGAGCUGAUCCAGAAUGUCACCAGCAACCAAAUAAAUGUCUCUGAG